rnacentral:rRNA from 1 species
AACGAGGAGAGGACCGCGGCCGCCUGGACUUCGGUUAGAGGCACCUACCCCCAGCCCCCAUCUGCGCGCGGCGGGGGGAUGCGGGGCCUCCCGUGCUGGCCGGGUCGCGGGCCCCUCCUCUUCACACAAACCCUCUGUGUACCUUGUCCCCAUUGCUUCCCUCGGAACGAGAGCUUCUCCGGGCUGGUCCGGGUGGCGGCGCGCCCCGUAGAACGGGCAACCCAACCCCGAUCGGCCACGCCUGGCUUGCUCCUCGCCCCCUGGGGGAGGAAAACCCAACCAAACCCUUUGCGCGAAAAAUGACAUCUGAACAGAAAAAACAAAAAGUUAAAACUUUCAACAACGGAUCUCUUGGUUCCCACAUCGAUGAAGAACGCAGCGAAAUGCGAUAAGUAAUGUGAAUUGCAGAAUUCAGUGAAUCAUCGAAUCUUUGAACGCACAUUGCGCCCUCUGGUAUUCCGGGGGGCAUGCCUGUUCGAGCGUCAUAAAAACCUCUCCACCCCGGGUUCAUGAGAUCCGGGGCGGGUAUUGGCGGUGCGGAUCCCCCUCCCCCCUAUACAACGGGACGGAGGCACCCACCGCUCAAAGUCAUGAAGAUAACCCAGCCGAAAGCGCCAGGGCGUCAACCGUGGAGUCAUGAGGAACCACGCCCCGCGAGGGGUGCCUCCCACUCUGGGCGACCGGUGUAUGGAAAAUGCGGGCGUAAAAGCACGGGAAAUCCGCCGGAACCGCGCCGUUUCUGACGGCGGCCGAGGGAUGAGGAUGAACCCCGUGGAGGGCUAGAUACCCAAGCACAUUCAAGUUUUGACCUCGGAUCAGGUAGGGAUACCCGCUGAACU